CUCUGAGGCAUCAUAGGUAGUGUUGACUGCCAGGCUGCCUAGUCGUUGGUAUACAGGUUAACUCACAGGCAUCCAGUUGGUUUUAGAUACCUGUAAGGCAUCUAGACGGACAUUAAGAGGGGCUGACUCCCAGGCUGCUUCCUAACACUGGUUAGCUCUCAGGCAGCCAAUUAGCUUUGGAUGCCUUUGAGGCACCUGAUGUUGAGACUGGUUGACUGUAGACUGAUAUCCCUUAGUUAAAUUGUCCUCAUGCCUCCUCAUACAGAUAGGCCUAUUGAAUAAAUCUGCCAGAUUAUUUUUAACAUUGCAUAUGCCUAACAUUAUGUGAUAAUACUAAUCACACUCAUAUUGCCUUUCUCUUUCAGUUCAUGAAGAAAUGGCGCCCAGGAAGGUAGGACAGAAGCGGAAGGCCCUGCAGGUGUCAAAAGGUGGACCAUCUGCAAAGAUCGCAAUUUUCCACCAGUCACCACUGGUUGGUGGAGCCUCCGCCCCAGCCCCAACCCCAUCUAGCCCUGCUGCUCCAUCCACCCUUCCUGCCCCAUCCGGCCCUGCUGCUCCACCAUCCCCUACUGCCCCAUCCCAGCCGGCAUUUCAGAAUGUCCACAGCCUUUUGAGGACAUGCUCAGGGCAUCGGAGCAAAAGGUGAAGUGCACAGCUAGGCAUAGGUUUCUUCAAGACAGGUUUAUAUUUUUAGUGGUAGUGUGGUAGUAACAGUGCUGAGACCAUCUGUGAUGGGAUCUGGGAAAACCAGUCACAUGGUGAAAUUUGACCUUUUGGAAGCUGACUUCAAGCUUGUUUCAAAUAUGUUUUCAUUAUUUGUCUGUUUCAAAUGUUAUGAUUGCCCAAAGUCAGCUGAUCAGUUAGAUUUCAUGGAAUAGAAUUUUGACAAAAACAACUUUAAAGAGAGGGGUUCUAAAUAAACUGGCUGGUUGAAUAAAGCACAUUUUAACACAUUCAAUUUAUGAAAAACAAGUAGAUAUGUUUAGGGAUGAUAGACAUGUUAUAGAAUAAUAAUUGAAUCAAAACCCAAUUUCACCAAAAUACUGAGUUUCGACCUACUAGUAUUUUCACUCUAAUCUCAAAAAUGUCCCUUUUCACCAUGUGACUG